UAAUUGGUCACUUUCUCUCUCCUUCCUCCUCCAAAGAUCUUCGCUUCAACCAAAAAAAUAUAUUGUGGUCUCUUUGCAGCGACGAUGGAGGACCUUGGCUCGAAACAUUCUUCCCACACUGAAUUUUUCUUAGCUGAGAUGGUGCAAUUGGAAAAUAUCUACAAGGACAUGGGAGAAAAAUCUGUGUCUCUGGAAUUUUGCCAAGGGCUUGCAAAAAGUUUUAGUUCCUCAUCAAUCCGUGCUGGAAAAGAUCCUAUCUCUUGGGAACAGGUGCAAGAUUGGUUCCGUAACAAACAGAAACAGUCAGAAGCUGAAGUCCCUUCAGUAGCCAACUCGCCGAAAAUUGUUGGCUCUUCUGAUGCAUCUACUAUUACUGAUGAACUUGGAACUUGUCCAAACCCAAAAGGGGCAAGUUGGGGAGUUGGUUUUGGUCCUAAAUAUGAAAAAGUUCCUGAUAUUUCAGAGUUAGCAUUUGAAGCUAGAUCAUCAAAGGAUGCAGCAUGGUAUGACGUUGAGUCAUUUAUUUCCUACAGAGUUGUCAGCAGCACUGGUGAACUUGAAGUACGUGUACGAUAUGCUGGAUUCAGUAAGAAUCAGGAUGAGUGGGUGAAUGUGAAAGAGUCAGUGCGCGAGAGAUCUAUCCCAUUAGUACCCACUGAGUGUGACAAGGUGAAGGAAGGAGAUCUUAUGCUAUGCUUCCAGGAUUCUCUAAAGACUUUCUGGUCAUCAACAGGAAAGAGAAGAUUAUGCCGUAUAUUGUGAUGCUUGUGUUGUUAAAGUCCAAAGAAGGCUUCAUGAUGAGACAGAUUGUAGGUGCAUCUUCCUCGUCCGAUACAGCCAUGAUGACACUGAGGAGGUGGUUCAGUGGAACAGGCUUUGUCGUAGACCUACUCAAGAGCAGCCUGUACUCUCCAUUAAUCCCAUUGCAGACUUGUGGGGAUGAUGAUGAGCCAAUUGAUCAGUCUUAUGAAGCCUAAGAGGGCCGAUGCUAAGAAAAGAAUUGGGAGCUAGCUGCUUUCUGAGAAAAGGGAAAAGGGCAAUUAAAAGCCUUGUUAAACUAUUAAUUCCAAUUACAGAUAUGUAAUGAUUGAAAUUUCAUUGAAGGGCUAUCAAAAGACAUCUCAUUUUGUAAUGUCUUAUCUGGUUUUCCCAAGUGGUUUAUCUAGAAUUCACAACUGAUUAUAUACAAUUUCAGAAUUUCAUGUGGAAUUGAUUUGGACUUUU